UACGUAGGGGGCAAGCGUUGUCCGGAAUCAUUGGGCGUAAAGCGCGUGUAGGCGGUUCAGUAAGUCUGCUGUGAAAGUCCAGGGCUCAACCCUGGGAUGCCGGUGGAUACUGCUGGGCUAGAGUACGGAAGAGGCGAGUGGAAUUCCCGGUGUAGCGGUGAAAUGCGCAGAUAUCGGGAGGAACACCAAUUGCGAAGGCAGCUCGCUGGGACGUUACUGACGCUGAGACGCGAAAGCGUGGGGAGCAAAGCAG
rnacentral:rRNA from 1 species